AGAGAGAGAGAGAGAGAGACAUUUUAUUACAGCACUUCUGUAAGGUUUUGUGUAAAAUUGCACUUGCAGUGAGUCUUACAUCCCACUCCAGCACUACAAUAAGUUAGGUAUCCUAUGAAGUAGACGAUUAUAAUCUUACACAGUUGCCUGCACUUUUUAGACGGUCCCUUACUGACUACUUUACUGUAAAGCGCUUAUGCGUUGCCGAAAGAUUUGCUUCCGCGGGCUUUAACGGGAGAAAAUUAAAAAAUAUAUUUAGUUGUACUUUGAUCUCUGCCACUCCGGAGUAAGACUAUACACAUUUUGUCCUUUUUGUGAGUUUAUUUCUUGGGAAAUAGAAGAGAAAGCUCGAAUGUGCAGUGAAUGUCCAAGAUAAACCCAGCUCCACCGCGGUGUCCAGCAUCAGGUCACUGACGAAGCAGUUUGUUGACGGUUCCCACGACUAGCAGGGAUAACGCUAACCUAAUUGUGGAAGGUUUUUUAGAAGUGCUUAUGAGGCUAAACCUUGUCAACCUGAAUUAAAAUAGAGUUAAAGCGGAAUUAAAUAGAGUUAACAGCCCACGUACAGUCAUUCGGGCUCGAGUGGCGCGCGAGCGGGGUUUCUCUAAAAUGAAUCUCAUUUGUAUCUCGCAGUGAAUUCCUUCUCAUCCCCAACAUCUCUCUGAUGUUUAUGAACAUUAUGUAAUGUAAUGUGGGUCCACCGCUUACAAACUCCAAUCCCGAGCCAUUUGUGCGUUUAUGGACACGGGAGAGUAGGAGGAUACUGACAUGACCGAUUUGUGGAAUAUUUUGUCUUGGGUUUUUUUUCUUUCUUUAUUCAUGCCCCAGGUUUUUUGAUGGAUGGCCAAUCAAGGUCAUUACAGGGCAAGCGCUGCAUCAUUAAGCCACGGCAGAGAUGAAGGAGAUCUUCACCAAGGCACGGAAUGGAGAGUACAGACUUCUUAAAGUUUAACAAGUUGUUAUUGUUGCUUUUGUAGUUUGUUGUUGAUGAUAAUAAGAUGAAGAGGAAAAAGAAUACUAACACUCCUGUCUCUGUGCAUGAUGAUGUAGCACUAAAUGGCUAUAAAAGGUACUUGGGGUCCCAGGCUGCUCCACUCCCACUGACUGCUGCUGAGGAGGAACUGAGGCAAAUCGAACUCAAUGAGACCACAGCGGGUUGGCCUGCAGGACUGUGACUCUGAAUGAGUCCCAUCCGUGCUCCAGGAAGUGUUGGACCAGAUUCUGGAAGUUGGAUCUGAUCUCCUUGGUCAAUUUCACCGUGGCCGAUGAGUAUGUCAGGACGAAAGGGUAAGGUUUAGG